GCCCAGGUGGCGGAACUGGUAGACGCGCUAGUUUCAGGUACUAGUGGGAGCAAUCCCUUGGAAGUUCGAGUCUUCUCCUGGGCACCA
rnacentral:tRNA from 1 species